GUUAAAUCACCGACCUGUAUCCAUGAUUCUGUGAUGAACAUAAAAUCCAAGUUGUGUGAGGAGUAGAAGUCGUCGUUUAAUAAAAAGGUCUUAUUCACCACAGAGCGGGCGUUUAUUAGCGCCAACUUAGGUGGAGGAAUAGUCACGUGAGAUGGCGGCGCUUUUCUCAAUGAGCGCAGAUUUCCUGAUAUACUCCAUUCCGCCCGGAGCGGAGGCCAACACUACGGAGAUCAACCCUAGUGACAUGACUCGGAUGUAAAGGGAAACAAGGACGAAGACAUCGGUACACCGCGUCCCAUGUUGCAGAUCUGUGUCCAAAUGAAAUGUCAGCUUGUAAAUAAGCUUUCAGUUUCGUGAUGUGACCUCCGCGGCUUCCUCGUUUCCUCCUUCGCUUUCUCCGCACGGUGUUUAGUGGUCGCAGGAAGAUGGUUCGGGGAGGCUCGUAUGGUUUGUGAAGGGGGCAUUCCACGUCCACGAUGUGAAAGUCCGCGAGUGAAUCCACAACAGAGAUGCGGAUGUCUAGGAGAGCUUGACGGGCGUACACUAGCCGCGUACAGCAGGAGAUAUAUGUGACACGUGGCCUUCGCAUGGCCCUACUGGACGCCUGGCUGUUACAGCACUUGGAUUGGAGACAAGGACUGGUCGGUAACAUCUACAAACUGCGUCACUGGAUCUGCAACAAGAGAUGAAAGAAACAUUCUCCGAACUGUUCCAAGGUAUAGGAAAACUGGACAGUGACUACCACAUCAAACUCAAACCUGAUGCUUAGCCAUUCGCAUUGUCCACCCCCAGACAAGUAGCUCUCCCCCUCCUUAUGAAGGUCAAACAGGAACUUAGCCGCAUGGUGGAGGAAGAUAUCACAAGAGUGGAAGAAGCAACAGAAGGGUGUGCUGAGAUGGUAGUUGUUCUCAAGCCCGACGGUGCUGUGUGAAUCUGUGUGGACUUAACUGUGGAAUCUGAGCAUUAACAAUUACAAUAUGAAUGUACAUUUCAAUGGAAG
ensembl:lncRNA